UACGAAGGGGGCUAGCGUUGCUCGGAAUUACUGGGCGUAAAGGGAGCGUAGGCGGACAGCUAAGUCAGAGGUGAAAGCCCAGGGCUCAACCCUGGAAUUGCCUUUGAUACUGGCUGUCUUGAGUAUGGGAGAGGUGUGUGGAACUCCGAGUGUAGAGGUGAAAUUCGUAGAUAUUCGCAAGAACACCAGUGGCGAAGGCGGCUCACUGGCCCGAUACUGACGCUGAGGCACGAAAGCGUGGGGAGCAAACAGG
rnacentral:rRNA from 1 species